CCCAAUUUCUUUCUCCUCGAGCCCUAACCCAAAAGUAGCAUCCCACCGGCGUCCGUAAACGUGGAAUCGACUGGCGGAAAAAAAUCAACCAACAGCAAGCCUUCUUGUCUUCUGCUUCCUAUUCUUCUUCAAAUCUUCUUCUCUUCUUCUUCUUCUUCCUCUUCUUCAAAUCUUCACUUGUUCUUCUCUUGUCAACAGAUCGAGGUCCAUUGUUCCGAAGCCGGCGGUCACCAAUCCCCAGAACGAAGGUCCAUUGUUCCGAAGCCGGUGGUCAUCAAUCCCCAGAACGAAGGUCCACCGUUGGGGCAGCAUGAUAUGGGAUGAUAAUUUUGCUCUGAAAUUUAUUGUUUUUCCUGUUCAGAAGCCUAAUGCCCUUACUGUAUCUCUAGCGUGGAGAUCUGGAAGCUGUCCAGAGGACCCGGGGAAGAGGAAGAUGGCUUUGCAUUUCAUUAUAUUUUUGGCUUCGUUCAGCCAUACUAUGUAGAAGAUGAUAGGCUUCGUGCAGUGUGUUUGUUGUAAUCAUAUAGUCUUCUCUCUUGAUGAGAGUUUGUAAUUUUAAUUUUUCUUUACAAGGCAAUCUUGCCCAAUCUGGUUUUUGGUUGUAUCUCAAUAACAAUACAUUUAGCUAUGCAUUAUUAUGGUGUAUGCGGCUUCAGUGGGAUCAUUGGGCAUGAUUAUAUUUGUUAGA